rnacentral:rRNA from 1 species
AUUGAACGCUGGCGGCAGGCCUAACACAUGCAAGUCGAACGGCAGCACAGAAGAGCUUGCUCUUUGGGUGGCGAGUGGCGGACGGGUGAGUAAUGUCUGGGAAACUGCCCGAUGGAGAGGGAUAACUACUGGAAACGGUAGCUAAUACCGCAUAACGUCGCAAGACCAAAGUGGGGGACCUUCGGGCCUCACACAAUCGGAUGUGCCCAGAUGGGAUUAGCUAGUAGGUGGGGUAAUGGCUCACCUAGGCGACGAGCCCUAGCUGGUCUGAGAGGAUGACCAGCCACACUGGAACUGAGACACGGUCCAGACUCCUACGGGAGGCAGCAGUGGGGAAUAUUGCACAAUGGGCGCAAGCCUGAUGCAGCCAUGCCGCGUGUAUGAAGAAGGCCUUCGGGUUGUAAAGUACUUUCAGCGGGGAGGAAGGCGGUGAGGUUAAUAACCUUGCCGAUUGACGUUACCCGCAGAAGAAGCACCGGCUAACUACGUGCCAGCAGCCGCCGUAA